rnacentral:tRNA from 1 species
GCCCCCGUAGCUCAAUUGGUAGAGCAAUUCCCUUUUAAGGAAGAGGUUCCCAGUUCGAGUCUGGGCGGGGGCA